CCCGGAUCUGGCUGCUGAAACAAGAGCACACAGCCACGCCAGCCCCUGCCCUGCAGUGCGACACGGAGCCGACGAGUUCCCACCUGAAGAAGAUGGCAGAGGAAACAAGAAAAUUUCCCAGAAGAGAGCUGGUGACGAGGUGGAGGAAUGGAAGGGUCUUUCUGGGUGCAACUACAGCUUUUUGUUGGCUCCCUGCCUCCCAGCCAUGAGCAUAAAGUGAAUACUCUUCUCUAAAGAAACUGGAGAAUACAGCCUCUUCCUGAUAUUCAAGAGAUUUAACCUGCUUCCACUGUCAACUCACAACUGUAAAUACCAGAUGAGUCACCAACUGGUAAGAACAUAUUUCAUCUUGAGAUCUA